CAUACAUGAUUCAUAACCACAACCGCGCCCGGUUAAGUCCCACCGUGCGUCCGACUUCAUAUAAAACGGCUCGGGACAUUUUCAAUUUAGUUUUUAUUUAAUAUUCGAGGGACGUGUGAAAAUCUAACAAUGUUUCACUUGGAAGGGAUUAUGUUUAUGGUUGUGCUCUGCGUAGUGAACGCGUCGGUUAUUGUUAAUAUAUAUGAUGACGAUUUGCUAGAAGACAGUAAAGUAAAUCAAAAUGCAUAUCGUUGCAACAAUCAGGAGUGCAAUCAAUUCUGUCAUAGAAUGGGUUUCACGGGCGGUGUUUGUGUCGGAAAUCGUUGCCAUUGUGACAAGUUCCUUCAAGCUGGAGAAUUAGAAAGAGCCAAAUUACAUCAAAAUGUACUCGGUUGCAACAACAGAGCAUGUAACCAACUCUGUCGUAGAAUGGGUUUCACUGGUGGUGUAUGCGUCGGUGACCGUUGCAAGUGUGACAAUUUCCUACCGCCUAAAGAAUUAGAAGAAAGUAAAAUACAUAAAAAUUUACUUGCCUGCAACUAUAGAGCCUGUGACCAACUCUGUCGUAGAUUGGGUUUCACGGGUGGUGUAUGCGUCGGUGACCGUUGCAAGUGUGAUAAUUUCCUACCAGCUAAAGAAUUAGAAGAAAGCAAAUUACAAAAAAAUUUACUUGCCUGCGACAAUAGGGCCUGUGACCAACUCUGUCGUAGAAUGGGAUUCGGGGGUGGUGGAUGCGUCGAUUACCGUUGCAAGUGCUACAAUUACCUACCAGCUAAAGAACUAGAAGAGAGCAAAUUACAUAAAAAUUUACAAGGCUGCAACAAUAGAACCUGUGAACAACAAUGUCGUAGAAUGGGUUUCACGGAUGGUGAAUGCGUUGAUAACCGUUGCAUGUGCUACAAUUACCUUACACCUAAAGACAUUGAUGCAGGUUCCAAAGAUCUCCGCUGUGACUAUAAUGAGUGCGAUCGACGCUGUCGCCGCAUGGGUUAUCCUAGCGGUGGAUGUGUUAACGGUGUCUGCAGGUGUGACCGAUAUCGCGACGAAGAUAAUGAAAUACCUUCCGUUGACGAAGCUGUAAUGGAGAUAAGCGAUAGUUAUGCCGAUAAUAAAGACGUUGAUAUUUGCAACACGGACGUAUGUGAUGUAGCUUGUGGGAACCUAGGGUAUCCUGGAGGAAAUUGCUCCAACGGAAAAUGUCAAUGUCAAGAACAAGAGCAAAUGCGUGUGAACGGUAGAGAAUACUCACCAUCAGGUGGUCCAUCUGGCCGUCCAACUAUUUUAUAAAAACAACGUACAUGAUAGAUUUUGACGUUUUGAAGAUUUUGAAGAUUUGACAAAAAAAAUCACACUGAGUUUAUUUCGCCGAUACUUAUCAAGUCUAUCCUUAGAGUUUUAAUUUUAACUAACAAUAACUUAAGGUGAAACUUCUUUAUUCAUUUAUAAAUUUGCGUAUUGUUGUUGUUUUAUAAUAAACACAAACAAAUUUAUUUUCUGUGGGUAGCAUUUCAUUAAGAUCUCCAGUUCUGAGCAAAAUGCCGAAUGCUAAUAAUAACAAACAUUUAAAACUAAAAAAUAUUAAUUUUGUUAUUAAAAUAUACAGUAAAAUUACAUACGCAAUCGUACGUAGUAGAACAAUCGCUUUGAAGUAUCCAUUUAUAAUUAAGUCAACAAACAACCAAGCACUUGUGUUACUUCAUAGAAACAUAACCUUGAACAAACUUGUCGUUAUCAAGAUUUCCGUUGAAAUGAGAUUAUAUGUAAUGUGUUUAUGAACGCAUCAACACAAUUGCGAUUAUCAGAGAUAUACUAUAUUAUUUUCCAAAGUUAAUUAAGUACCUUUCCCUUAUUAUUAUGUCAACAUAAGAAUUGAUAACAUUAAGUGCUUAAAUAUAUAUACAAAUAUGAAUUAAAAAUAGUUACUGUAUACCUUUUGACCGCGUGGAAUGGUGGCAAGAAUGCUAGGUAAACACAGGUUUCUCACCUGUGCUUCAAGAUCAAGAGGAGAAAUCGCCAAGAUCACUGCUAUAUUGUGAUAUCGUGGCUUGCAACAACAUGUGUCACCGUAUGCACUACAUCGG